ACACGGGGUCUCAUCGGCCCCAAAGCCCAUUAAAACCAGGUUCGAGGCCACCAGCCUGUGAGUGAGGACCUGCCAGGACCCCGGCUGAGCACGGAGGGGAGUGGAGGAGGAGCCCCCGGUACCCACGAGACUGCGCUCAGGGCUCGCCACGCCUGUACGUCUGUGAUUUGGUGACUGCUCAGAGGACCCAAGGGGGGAGUCUUGGGAAGAGCAUCCUAAGGGCCACUGGGAGGCCGAGAGGGGCCCUGCCGUGGAGUCUGCCUUGUUAGCUUCCUUCUGAUGCACACAGGAAGCGCUUUGGAAGACUGACUCAGGAGCUGAAGUCAUAACACAAGCUAAGACCUGACUACCUACUGUCUGUGCCUCGUAGCCAAAGAUGGCCAGGAACAAGAUUGAUUUAUUGAUUUGUCGCACUGAGGCAACGAAGGAAGGAGACUGCAUGUGACGGGCAUCUCAGUAAAAGCCCCUGUCUGAAGUCGGUGAUGCACGAGAUUGGUCUGUUCAACAGGAGAACAUUGCAGCCCAGCUGUGCACGCCAGGCCAGAGCCAGCUGUCGGGGACUCCUUUUCUCUUUCUCACUGCAAAGGCAAAGCCUUGAUGCUCAAGUUCCAGCCUGCUCUCCAUCCCAGUCUCAUACCUUCAUGUCGCGACAAUGAUCAUCACAUUUCAAGAGGACAAGGAGGAAGGGAUAAGAAUAAGAAAGGGGUUGGUUUGGGAGUGGGGGGUGAAAUAGCAUUUUAACUUAGAAGAUUCAGAUCUCUGUCACUGAGUGGCUCCAGGGUUCCAUUCCUCUGUCUGGAUAGAAUGGGAUUCAAAGCUAUGUUAGGAAAAGGAAAAAAAAAGAAUUAAGAUAAAACAUUUUCAUGCCAA